rnacentral:lncRNA from 10 species
CAAGUGAUCCUCCUGUGCUAGCCUCUCAAGCAGCUAGGACUACAGUUUUACUUGCUUCCAACAGGAAGGCAAGUUUUCCUCCUUCCAUGACGAUGAAAGGCAGGUAACUCCUUUAUGGAAUUUGAGCUGGCUUCCAACAGGGAAGAUGAGGUUUUUUUUCCUGCCUCUAGAAUAGUAGAGAGCAGUCUACAGCCUGAGACCCAUCACUAGGACACAAUUGAAGAAACUGGUAGUUUUACCAAGGCUUUGACUGGAAUGGUGCACUUUCCUAUAAGGAAUCAAACUUGACUUAAGAAGCCAAUAAAGCCCUUGGAAAAACUGGCCUCAUAUUUUGUGUACACAGUCCGUGUACAGGGUUUCUGGCCUGUGGAGUCACUGAAAACUAAGCUGUGCUUUCUUAAAGCCCAGCUAACUGAGACUAAACAACUUAAACUUCAGAAGAAAAUAACAGCAACCAAUUUACAUACCUGCCUACUGACUAUAGACUUCAGAGAAAUGUGGCCUAUAUAGAUUUUCCAAGAAUGUUCUUUUGUUUGUUGUUGUUUUUUCUCCCUUCCUCCCCACUAUUUUUCCUUCAUAGGACAUGAGACUUCACAACCUGCUAAAAAUCUUCGUUCGGGACCUACCUGUCUAGGAAUAAACCAUCCUUGCCAUGAGAGAUCAAAUGAAACCUGAGACCAGAGAUUCAUUUUCUUGUAAAAUGCCUUCUCCAAAAGAUUUUUGAAAAGAAAGGGGGGAAAUAUGAAAGGAAAUUAAAGCUUGGGGCCCCCAAAUCACUAAGCUAAAGGGAAUAGUCAAGCUGGGAACUGCUUAGGGCAAAGCUGCCUCCCAUUCUAUUCAAAGUCACCCCUGUGCUCACUGAGAUAGAUGCAUAUCUGAUUGCCUCCUUUGGAAAGGCUAACAGAAUCUCAAAAGAAUGUAACCAUUUGUGUAUCACCUAUCUGUGACCUGGAAGCCUCCUCCCCACUUCAAGUCUUCCUGCCUUUCCAGACUGAACCAAUGUACUUCUUACAUAUAUUGAUUGAUGUCUCAUGCCUCCCUAAAAUGUAUAAAACUAAGCUGUACCCCAACCACCUUGGGCACAGGUCUUCAGGACUUCCUGAGGCUGUCACGGACACAUGUCCCCAACCUUGGCAAAAUAAACAAUUAACUGAGACCUGUCUCAAAUUUUCAGAGUUCACAGUAUUUUGAAACCAAAAUCUGGACACAAGAUGUGCCCAUUGCUAUGGGGGUGUCAUUGCCUCUAGGCCCUCUCAGUGGACAGCGUGAGGUAUAGCACUAGGUAAUAUUUGUGUGUAUACCGACUCAUGUAUAUACACAUAUUUCUGUCUAUAUAUAUACCAAGCUAGCUAACCAACUCUAAUCCACUACCCAAGGGCUCAUUCUAUUUUUCCCUCCUUGCUUAUAUGUUACUUCUCUUUCUGAUAGUGAAAACCCUUCCUCCCAAAAUCCACUAUACAUUUACUUAUUUGUUCAGCCCCAGUACAUAUGUAAAGCCGUUUGAGAACUAUUAACCCAUAUACCAUGAGAAACAGACUUACCAGCUAGAGUAUAGUGUUUACAUACAGUACGUGGACCUUUUUUUUUUUUUGGACAGAGUUUUCUUGUUCUCAGGCUGGAGUGCCAUGGCGCGAUCUCGGCUCACUGCAACCUCUGCUUCCCAGGUUCAAGUGAUUCUCCCGCUUCAGCUUCCCUAGUGGCUGGG